AAUCCAUGGUGUGGUCAUUUCUGAAUUAGCAUCUUAAAAUGCUCUCAUGCAUCGUGUAAGCUUUCUCCCUCUAAUUGCUUGAACAUCAAAAUUCCCCUUCUUAGUUA
rfam:Gossypium hirsutum cultivar TM-1 chromosome 25, whole genome shotgun sequence